rnacentral:rRNA from 1 species
GACGAACGCUGGCGGCGUGCCUAAUACAUGCAAGUAGAACGCUGAAGAGAGGAGCUUGCUCUUCUUGGAUGAGUUGCGAACGGGUGAGUAACGCGUAGGUAACCUGCCUUGUAGCGGGGGAUAACUAUUGGAGACGAUAGCUAAUACCGCAUAACAAUGGAUGACACAUGUCAUUUAUUUGAAAGGGGCAAUUGCUCCACUACAAGAUGGACCUGCGUUGUAUUAGCUAGUAGGUGAGGUAAUGGCUCACCUAGGCGACGAUACAUAGCCGACCUGAGAGGGUGAUCAGCCACACUGGGACUGAGACACGGCCCAGACUCCUACGGGAGGCAGCAGUAGGGAAUCUUCGGCAAUGGGGGCAACCCUGACCGAGCAACGCCGCGUGAGUGAAGAAGGUUUUCGGAUCGUAAAGCUCUGUUGUAAGUCAAGAACGGGUGUGAGAGUGGAAAGUUCACACUGUGACGGUAGCUUACCAGAAAGGGACGGCUAACUACGUG